UCUCCGUAGGUGAACCUGCGGAGGGAUCAUUACAGAGUUCAUGCCCUACCGGGUAGAUCUCCCACCCUAUGUUAUUAUUACUUUGUUGCUUUGGCGGGCCGUUAGGCUCCGGCCCGACUACCGGCCCCGGCUGGUAAGCGCCCGCCAGAGGACCCAAAACCCAGAAUAUUAGUGUCGUCUGAGUACUAUAUAAUAGUUAAAACUUUCAACAACGGAUCUCUUGGUUCUG
rnacentral:misc_RNA from 1 species